UCAAACUUGGCCAGCAUGAAAGGGAUCAGGGGCAGCUCGGUGACCUCUCCAAAGGUCUGUGUCACAGUGAUUCCACCCACCUGUGAGAGAAGAACCAGAAGGGACAGAGGUUACUGCCUAACCUUGGCUGGGAUCUGCUCUGGCUUUCAUACCAGGGCAGCAGAGAUACACACGCUCUGUACAGCAGUUAAGAUCAGUGGUGUGGAGCUGAGGAGAAGCAGACCAUAGGUGCAGCAGGCAGAGCUGGGGGAGAGGCACGAGGCUUGACUCUUACCACAAGCAAGGAUUUCCCAGACAGAGGGCAUUUUCUUGAGUGGGAUUCUGCUCCAGGGUAGAGGAAGAAAAGCAGAAGAGUCAUGCAGUGCUCCAACGUUGGCAGAGCCCAGAUGUCGCCUUGCUUUUUGUUACAUAAAGCAGUUUGUUCAUCCGUCCGUCCAUCUGUCCAUCCACCAGUCAGUCCGUCUGUCCAUCUGUCUACCAUUAUCAUCGUGUGUUGAACACCGACUCUAUGCCUCACUGUUCUGGAGAGGAACAUAAAGGCCUAUACAGCCUCUUGCCAUCUCCUCGGAUCGACGGGCAAGGCAGUACCACGGAUGGCCUGUUUAUCCCCACAAAAGAAAAGGACAGUGCCUGCAGCCGCAGAUCCAGUAAAGACAGCGCUGUCUCCUGAGACCUGCAGACCACAAAGCUGCCUUCCUCCAGACACCUCAUCUGACGCAAGACUCCCGAGACACGCUGAGAUCCAGAGACACGAGCUGAACCCAACAGAGGACAGACUUGAGGUCUUCCAGCUACAGAUGAACUCUCUCGCCAAAGCCAAACGGCUGCUGAACUUGGGGGAAGUUACAUGGUCGCAAGGAAAACUUAAUGUCUAUCUAGAUUAAUUAACUGAUACUC